GGCUCAGGAUGAACGCUAGCUACAGGCUUAACACAUGCAAGUCGAGGGGCAGCAUGGUCUUAGCUUGCUAAGGCCGAUGGCGACCGGCGCACGGGUGAGUAACACGUAUCCAACCUGCCGUCUACUCUUGGACAGCCUUCUGAAAGGAAGAUUAAUACAAGAUGGCAUCAUGAGUCCGCAUGUUCACAUGAUUAAAGGUAUUCCGGUAGACGAUGGGGAUGCGUUCCAUUAGAUAGUAGGCGGGGUAACGGCCCACCUAGUCUUCGAUGGAUAGGGGUUCUGAGAGGAAGGUCCCCCACAUUGGAACUGAGACACGGUCCAAACUCCUACGGGAGGCAGCAGUGAGGAAUAUUGGUCAAUGGGCGAGAGCCUGAACCAGCCAAGUAGCGUGAAGGAUGACUGCCCUAUGGGUUGUAAACUUCUUUUAUAAAGGAAUAAAGUCGGGUAUGCAUACCCGUUUGCAUGUACUUUAUGAAUAAGGAUCGGCUAACUCCGUGCCAGCAGCCGCGGUAAUACGGAGGAUCCGAGCGUUAUCCGGAUUUAUUGGGUUUAAAGGGAGCGUAGAUGGAUGUUUAAGUCAGUUGUGAAAGUUUGCGGCUCAACCGUAAAAUUGCAGUUGAUACUGGAUAUCUUGAGUGCAGUUGAGGCAGGCGAAAUUCGUGGUGUAGCGGUGAAAUGCUUAGAUAUCACGAAGAACUCCGAUUGCGAAGGCAGCCUGCUAAGCUGCAACUGACAUUGAGGCUCGAAAGUGUGGGUAUCAAACAGGAUUAGAUACCCUGGUAGUCCACACGGUAAACGAUGAAUACUCGCUGUUUGCGAUAUACAGCAAGCGGCCAAGCGAAAGCGUUAAGUAUUCCACCUGGGGAGUACGCCGGCAACGGUGAAACUCAAAGGAAUUGACGGGGGCCCGCACAAGCGGAGGAACAUGUGGUUUAAUUCGAUGAUACGCGAGGAACCUUACCCGGGCUUAAAUUGCAGAUGAAUUACGGUGAAAGCCGUAAGCCGCAAGGCAUCUGUGAAGGUGCUGCAUGGUUGUCGUCAGCUCGUGCCGUGAGGUGUCGGCUUAAGUGCCAUAACGAGCGCAACCCUUGUUGUCAGUUACUAACAGGUUCCGCUGAGGACUCUGACAAGACUGCCAUCGUAAGAUGUGAGGAAGGUGGGGAUGACGUCAAAUCAGCACGGCCCUUACGUCCGGGGCUACACACGUGUUACAAUGGGGGGGUACAGAGGGCCGCUACCACGCGAGUGGAUGCCAAUCCCAAAAACCUCUCUCAGUUCGGACUGGAGUCUGCAACCCGACUCCACGAAGCUGGAUUCGCUAGUAAUCGCGCAUCAGCCACGGCGCGGUGAAUACGUUCCCGGGCCUUGUACACACCGCCCGUCAAGCCAUGGGAGCCGGGGGUACCUGAAGUGCGUAACCGCGAGGAGCGCCCUAGGGUAAAACUGG
rnacentral:rRNA from 1 species